rnacentral:rRNA from 1 species
GGUUCAUUCAAAUUUCUGCCCUAUCAACUUUCGACUUUAGUGUAGUGGACUAAAGUGGUUACAACGGGUAACGGAGGGUAAGGGCUCGACCCGGAGAAGGAGCCUGAGAAACGGCUACUACAUCCAAGGAAGGCAGCAGGCGCGCAAAUAACCCAAUCCCGCUCGGGGAGGUAAGUGACAUAAAUACUGAUACAGGGCUCUUUUGGGUCUUGUCAUCGGAAUGAGUACAAUUUAAAUCCCUUAACGAGGAACAAUGGCAGGGCAAGUCUGGUGCCAGCAGCCGGGUCAAUUCCAGCUCCAAUAGCGUAUAAUAAAGUAGUAGUGGGUAAAAAGCUACGAGUUG